AGGACGAACGCUGGCGGCGCGCCUAACACAUGCAAGUCGAGCGAGAACCAGGGCUUGCCCUGGGGACAGCGGCGAACGGGUGCGUAACACGUGAGCAACCUGCCCCAAAGACCGGGACAACCCGAGGAAACUCGGACUAAUACCGGAUGCCCUCACCGGGUCGCAUGGUCUGGUGAGGAAAUGGAUUCCGCUUUGGGAUGGGCUCGCGGUCUAUCAGCUUGUUGGUGGGGUAACGGCCUACCAAGGCGACGACGGAUAGCUGGUCUGAGAGGACGAUCAGCCACACUGGGACUGAGACACGGCCCAGACUCCUACGGGAGGCAGCAGUGGGGAAUCUUGCGCAAUGGGGGAAACCCUGACGCAGCGACGCCGCGUGCGGGAUGAAGGCCUUCGGGUUGUAACCGCUUUCAGCAGGGACGAAAUUGACGGUACCUGCAGAAGAAGGCCGGCCAACUACGCGCCAGCAGCCGC
rnacentral:rRNA from 1 species